UUUUUAAAUUAUAUUUUAUUAAGAAAAUUUACAUUUCCAUCUUUUCGUUGAAUGCUGUGAAUUGUGGGUAAUGUAGUCCUGUAGGUCUUUUAUUGUGCAGUGUGAGGAAGUGUUUCAGAGGAAACAUGCGUUAUGAACUCCAGAAGUUUUCUCUGCUUUCUCUCUCACACAGCUCGAGUUUUUAUAAAGUCAAGUUUCAACAGUGUAAAAAAUUAAAGAUUUUACUGUAGUGAAUUUGGUCUUUAACACACAAUUAUACUUAUAAUUCAUAUAUUUUGUGUAAUAAACAGAACCUCAACACCUGAAGAGAAGAACAGGAGCAUCAACAGAUGAACACAGAACACGAUGUGAUGCACACUGAAGACAUCGCUCCAGCUCUGAGAUCACAAACUAAAGUAAUAAGAAAGAAAGAAAGAAAGAAAGAAAGAAAGAAAGAGUGUACGAUUCACAUACAAGUCACAAGCACUAGUUUAAGAGCCAGAGUUGUGAAUCUUCUCCAUCCAUCACUACAUCCUUCUCCUUCUCCAUGAUCUUCUCCAUCCAUCUCAGGUCUGUAUGUGUAUGCAGUUCACAUGAUGAACACUCAAGUGCUGUAACUGUGACAACACGGGCAUUCCUGCUUCAUCUGGCCUGUGAGGAGGAUUUCAGGGUCCACUGAGGAUGAAGAGGGAAAUCUGGAUGGAUAAUGAAAGGUCAAAUUUCAAAGGUAGAUGUUACCUGUGUAAUACACAGUGUUUAGAUAUUCAGCAGGAGUGUUCUACAGUGUGGUUCAGUGUGAAGAUCAGAUGGGCUGAACGGAACCAGGCAGGCUGCAGGUGGGAUCUACAGACCAUGUGCUCCACAUGUAUGGAUGCUACAAACCCCUGGUGGAAGCAGUAAGGUGUGAUAAUGUUGUU